rnacentral:rRNA from 1 species
CUUCGGAUGCUGACGAGUGGCGGACGGGUGAGUAACGCGUAGGAAUCUGCCCAUUUGAGGGGGAUACCAGUUGGAAACGACUGUUAAUACCGCAUAAUAUCUGUGGAUUAAAGGUGGCUUAGGCUGCCGCAGAUGGAUGAGCCUGCGUUGGAUUAGCUAGUUGGUGGGGUAAGGGCCUACCAAGGCUACG